AGUGAACGCUGGCGGUAGGCCUAACACAUGCAAGUCGAACGGCAGCACAGUAAGAGCUUGCUCUUACGGGUGGCGAGUGGCGGACGGGUGAGGAAUACAUCGGAAUCUACUUUUUCGUGGGGGAUAACGUAGGGAAACUUACGCUAAUACCGCAUACGACCUACGGGUGAAAGCAGGGGAUCUUCGGACCUUGCGCGAUUGAAUGAGCCGAUGUCGGAUUAGCUAGUUGGCGGGGUAAAGGCCCACCAAGGCGACGAUCCGUAGCUGGUCUGAGAGGAUGAUCAGCCACACUGGAACUGAGACACGGUCCAGACUCCUACGGGAGGCAGCAGUGGGGAAUAUUGGACAAAGGGCGCAAGCCUGAUCCAGCCAUACCGCGUGGGUGAAGAAGGCCUUCGGGUUGUAAAGCCCUUUUGUUGAGAAAGAAAAGCAGCAGGUUAAUACCCCGCUGUUCUGACGGUACCCAAAGAAUAAGCACCGGCUAACUUCGUG
rnacentral:rRNA from 1 species